ACAGUUAGAUAUGAAGAUGUAUGAUCAGACUGACACAGAAGUUGACGCAGAGGUUUUUGAAGAAAUAGUGAAGGAGUCACCUGGAACCUUCCGAGUCAUGUUGAAUAAUGAAGAACUUGGUGCUUCUCUAUCAUCAUCCUCAGUUGCAUCUGAUGAUACUAUCAUUCUGGACUUCACAAUGUGUGACCCUCCUGAAGAAGCAGCCACUGCUGCAGGAAGUCAACUGAAAAGGCUAUGCCACAUCAACAAUGAGGCAAAAGCGUUGAUUGAAGAAAUCCUAACAAAGCCUGGCGGUGACCACAUCAUGCAGGAGUAUGCAAAAACCAAAUCUCUGACAGAUCCUACCAGAAGACCGAUGAUAAACAUACUUGCUGCUGAGAUGACAGAAACAUAUGGGACAUCCCCCCUACAAGUGUGAGAGUGAUGUAUGCACAGGGGAUAGUUGCUCUGUUUCCAUAUCUGAAAGACCCAUAUUCACAACAUGGAUAUGAACAUUACUACGAUCCAGAGAGCGGUUCGGGAUACCUUGCAUGGCGGUUGAAGACCAUUCAAAGAAAAAUUGCAGAGGAAAGAGGUGCCUCAGUUAGCAAAUCUCCCAAAAUCUUAAGUUGGUGGGCCAGGCCAUGGUCGACGCAGACCCUUCACUGCUGAGAAAGUGUUAUCUGAUGAGGAUGUGGAAGCAGCUAUUGCUGUUUUGAAACACUCUGCUAAUGAAAACACUGUCCGUGAGAAGAUGAAAGCUACCUUCAUCUAUCGUCAUUCAAUGGUCAAAGAUGAAAAGGAAGCAGCAGAUGUCUUCUCAGUCUUCCCGCGGUUUCUGGACACACCAGGACUGAUAGAACAAGAUUUCAGACUCCUGUUUGGUGAGGUCACUGCCCACAAAUUCUUGGAAAGGUGGCCCACCGAUUUCAGAGCUAAAGUGGUAAAGGAAAGCCAUGCAUUGGUACCCACCACAGAGCUCCUGGGGUUAAUGCACAAUGCUGAAUCAGCUGCUGAAGUUGAGAAUGGGUGGGACAGUAACAUGUCUGCUCUCCUGCUGCUGCUACAUCUCCUACCACCAUCUACUGCUCACUUUGCCUUCAUGUACAGUAACUUUCCAAGAACAUUUCCACGCAUAUGUGAUCAGGACUAAACAAGACUUUGUUGUCUUUCAUGUCGACAACCUGUGGUAUCCUAGGCCUUUCGACAUACAAAUGUCAUAUGGAGAGGACAACACAGCUCUCUUUGUUGUUCCGUAUUGCUUUCUUUGGUAAGCAUACUGUGAUGUAAAUGCUGUUACUGUGACCUUGUAUGCUUGUGUUUAUUUACAUUUGAUAGGUUAGAAGACAGCAGUAUAGCAUCACAGUAAAAUAUGACCUAGAUGUAAAAAAUAACACUGCAGAGAAAUGAAAAUUAAA